CACCUGCAAAGCAGGGAUGGAUUUCUGAGAAGAACUGUCCUGCACUGGGAAAUGUCUCUGAGAGGCCCCUGGGAUCUGCUGGGUGUUCCUGGAGAAGGGACACGAGGGGACUGUCCCUCCCUGGCCACAGCAGGACUGUCUCCCAGAAGAUGGAGCUCUUUCCCCAGCACUGCUGAUGGAGACCUUAUCUGUAUCACAGGCCCAUAAGGCUGAGACAGCUGGGACAUAGGAAUGCUCCUUGUGAGGCACUUGGAAACAUGCAGUUGAGCCCUCAAAACCUUCUUUGAUGCAUUUUUUUAGACGUGUUUCAGUGGCAGCAGAGUGGCCUGGCAGGAAGGUUCCAGAGCUCAGACCCUGUUGUCCUGAACUGGGACUAAAGCACUAUUUAGCAUUGCUUUGCAAAGACUAAAUGUAAGUAAGUCUA